rnacentral:rRNA from 1 species
AGGGCGGCGUGCCUAAUACAUGCAAGUCGAGCGGAAGCAUUGGAGCUUGCUCCUUUGGUUUACCGGCGGACGGGUGAGUAACACGUGGGCAACCUGCCCUGCAGAUCGGGAUAACUCCGGGAAACCGGUGCUAAUACCGAAUAGUUUGCGGCCUCUCAUGAGGCUGUACGGAAAGACGGUUUCGGCUGUCACUGCAGGAUGGGCCCGCGGCGCAUUAGCUAGUUGGUGGGGUAACGGCCCACCAAGGCGACGAUGCGUAGCCGACCUGAGAGGGUGAUCGGCCACACUGGGACUGAGACACGGCCCAGACUCCUACGGGAGGCAGCAGUAGGGAAUCUUCCGCAAUGGACGAAAGUCUGACGGAGCAACGCCGCGUGAGUGAAGAAGGUUUUCGGAUCGUAAAACUCUGUUGUGAGGGAAGAACAAGUACCAAAUAACUACUGGUACCUUGACGGUACCUCACCAGAAAGCCACGGGUAAC